rnacentral:rRNA from 1 species
UAACGAAUAUUCCGCAAUGGGCGAAAGCCUGACGGAGCAAUGCCGCGUGUGGGACGAAGCGGUUUCGCCGUGUAAACCACUGUCAGGGAAUAGAAAAGAUGAUCAUUUCCAGAGGAAGGGGCGACUAACUCUGUGCCAGCAGUCGCGGUAAGACAGAGGCCCCGAGCGUUAGUCGGAAUUACUGGGCUUAAAGGGUGCGUAGGCGGGCGUGUAAGUGUCUUGUGAAAGCCCUGGGCUCAACCCAGGAACCGCAGGGCAUACUGCACGUCUCGAAGAAGCUAGAGGCCGGUGGAACGAUCGGUGGAGCGGUGGAAUGCGUAGAGAUCGAUCGGAACGCCAAGGGUGAAGACAACCGGCUGGGGCUUUCUUGACGCUGAGGCACGAAAGCGUGGGGAUCAAACAGGAUUAGAUACCCCCGUAGUCC